rnacentral:lncRNA from 1 species
GAAACUAAUCCUGAAAACUCCUUCGUUGGUGAAAGCCAGUUUAAAAAUCAAAAAACAAAAACUCCUAAUUUACGGUCAAACUCAUAGUCCAAUUACACCUGUUCUCUCAUCUGGGCUUUACUUUUAGCCCACAUAGCUUUCAUAAUUUACAAAUUUGGCCCAUUAGUUAUAGGACUCACUAAAUAUUGUACAUAAUAAUGUAUGGUACAAAAAACAGGCUCAUCAAUAUUUACAACAACGUGAUAACCCGCGCCCAGCACGUAAUAAAUAGAUUUAAAGAUAUUAUUACUUUUAAUCUAUAGAUAUUAGAAACCUUAAAAUUAUAUGCACAAA